GUUAGCGGCGGACGGGUGAGUAACGCGUGGGCAAUCUGCCCUAAAGACCGGGAUAACAUUCCGAAAGGGAUGCUAAUACCGGGUGUGAUCUUUUCCUCGCAUGAGGAGAAGAAGAUAGGAGAAAUCCGCUUUAGGAUGAGCCCGCGUCCCAUUAGCUAGUUGGUAGGGUAAUGGCUUACCAAGGCGACGAUGGGUAGCCGACCUGAGAGGGUGACCGGCCACACUGGGACUGAGACACGGCCCAGACUCCUACGGGAGGCAGCAGUCGGGAAUAUUGGGCAAUGGGGGAAACCCUGACCCAGCAACGCCGCGUGAGUGAUGAAGGCCUUCGGGUCGUAAAGCUCUGUCCUUGGGGACGAAGAAACGACGGUACCCAAGAAGAAAGCCACGGCUAACUACGUGCCAGCAGCCGCGGUAAUACGUAGGUGGCGAGCGUUGUCCGGAAUUACUGGGCGUAAAGGGCGAGUAGGCGGUUUUACAAGUCAGAUGUGAAAUGCAUGGGCUCAACCCAUGAACUGCAUUUGAAACUGUAAGACUUGAGUGCGGUAGAGGAAAGUGGAAUUCCCAGUGUAGCGGUGAAAUGCGUAGAUAUUGGGAGGAACACCAGUGGCGAAGGCGACUUUCUGGGCCGUAACUGACGCUGAGGCGCGAAAGCGUGGGGAGCAAACAGGAUUAGAUACCCUGGUAGUCCACGCCGUAAACGAUGGAUGCUAGGUGUGGGAGGUAUCGACCCCUUCCGUGCCGGAGCUAACGCAAUAAGCAUCCCGCCUGGGGAGUACGACCGCAAGGUUGAAACUCAAAGGAAUUGACGGGGGCCCGCACAAGCAGCGGAGCGUGUGGUUUAAUUCGAAGCAACGCGAAGAACCUUACCAAGGCUUGACAUCC
rnacentral:rRNA from 1 species